AUUGAACGCUGGCGGCAGGCCUAACACAUGCAAGUCGAACGGAUGGAGGACGGGUGAGUAAUGUCUGGGAAACUGCAUGAUGGAGGGGGAUAACUACUGGAAACGGUAGAUAAUACCGCAUACAAUCGGAUGUGGUCAGCUGGGAUUAGGUAGGAGGGGGGGUAAAGGCUCACCUAGGCGAAGCUGCCUAGCUGGUAUGAGAGGAUGAGCCGCCACACUGGAACUGAGACACGGUCCAGACGCCUACGUGAGGCAGCAGUGGGGAAUAUUGCACAAUGGGCGCAAGCCUGCUGCAGCCAUGCCGCGUGUAUGAAGAAGGCCUUCGGGUUGUAAAGUACUUUCAGCGGGGAGGCGUUACCCGCAGAAGAAGCACCGGCUAACUCCGUGCCAGCAGCCGCGGUAAUUC
rnacentral:rRNA from 1 species